CAACUGUUGUCGCCAUCUUUACAAAGAAACUUGAAGGUGUAGGCGCCAACUUGAAGAAAGAAGGUUUUAUUCUAACAAAUAUAUUAAAGGUCGAUUUAUAGGUUUUAUUGUUGCACAUAAAAAAGACCCAAGAUUGUCAGUGGUUUCUUGAUUAAAUGGAAUUUCAUUGAAAAUUACUUUAAAGAUGCAAUGAAAAGGCACCAAUUGGAAUUCUUAUGAUUUGACAGAUACACUUUACUUGCACUUCUAAAUGUAACAACAACAAAUCAAUACUAUGAAACAGUGUCCACUUAAGAUCGACCAAAGCCUUCACAGUAAUGCUUCAACAAGACCAACACAUUGUCUGCUGCCAGCUUCCCGGAGUGUGUGCCAUACAGUCUUCAGUAUAAUGUUCAAGCUCCUACAGCAUGCGUCUCCAUGGACUUCUUGAACUAAAACAACAUGGCACUGCUUGAAUGGCCAGCUCUUUCUCAUUAACUCUCACUAUAGCGACUUUGUGGGACAAUAUAGGACAGGUCCUUAACUGCAAACGAGAGUGGAGAAGGAACCUAGUCAGCCAUUCAGAGGCUUCUCCAUGCUGUGAUGUUGUCUGUUGUGUGUGGCUGCUGGAGGUGGACAUAUACUUCACUGACUUGGCUUUUACUGCUAUGUUCUACUUAUCAACAAUAUUUUAUGGCCUCUGUGUGAUGUUGUUCAUCUUCUUGUGUACCUUCAGUGACAUCCAGUGCAUUUUCGGUAUAGAUCUCAGAAUCCUAUUAUAAAUGAAUGGAUGUAAACAACCAUUGCUUUAUGGAAAAAAAAAACCAUCCUGUAAGACAAAAAAAAAUCUACUUGCAGUUCCAAAGAUUACCUUGAAUAAUGCAAUUAAGAAUAUUUAAUAUCUUUUUUUAUUGUUUUAGAUGUGUAGAAAGUUCAAUUUCUAGUAACAGCAUGUAUAUAUUAUGGUAACCUUAAAGGUGCAUUAUGUAAGAAUUAGAUAAAGACCUGGUCAUUCAUGCUAAAAUAGUUCAAAAAUAGACAAUUUCAAAUUAAUAUACAUAUUUCGUUCAAAUUAAUCAUUUCUGAGUGAAUUUAUCAGACUUUGAAGUGUUCACCAUUAUCAAGUAGCAUUAUUAUCAUGAUAAUAAACAAAGUUUCAAUUAUCUAUUUUUAAAUUAAAUGAUUAUGGUGAUCAUGUUUCAGUCCAAUGGAUGGUCAAAAGAGUUGAUCAUGGGUUUUUCAUAUGUACACAGAUACCUCAUUAUUAAAAUAUAUCAAAUUUGAGCCCAAUAGAAGACCUGCAAUCGGCAGAUUUAGCUCUUACAUAAUGCAUCUGAAAUAUAAACCCUAAUGAAAAGAAAGCUUAAACCAAUGUAUAAAUGUGUAUAUUUUUGGUAGGGAUAUUUUUAAAUUAAAUUAUACUGAAAUGUUCAUGUUAUUGGAUUGUAUUAUUUUAUGAUUAAACAUGCUAUUGGUGUAAA